rnacentral:rRNA from 1 species
AACGUAGGUACCGAGCGUUAUCCGGAUUUACUGGGCGUAAAGCGCGUUCAGGCGGUUUGGCAAGUCGGGCAUGAAAUCUCUCGGCUCAACCGGGAGAGGUUGUCCGAUACUGCUGGACUUGAGGGCAGUAGAGGGUGGUGGAAUUCCGGGUGUAGUGGUGAAAUGCGUAGAUAUGCGGAGGAACACCGAUGGCGAAGGCAAUCCCCUGGGCCUGCACUGACGCUCAUGCACGAAAGCGUGGGGAGCAAACAGG